CUUAGUACUAAUCUUUUCUUACCAGUUUUUUCUUGAGUACCUGCUGCAUGCCACAGCCUGGUUAGGUGUCACUGGUUGUUUAGGGUGCCAUGGAAGAAGUCUUUACCUUCCAGGAACUCAUAAUCAACUCACCCCUACAGCCUGUGUCUCUCCCUUCCCCCAUAAGAUUCCCAACUACACCACCUGCCAGACUGGGUUGGGGGUGGGAUGGUACUGAGGAGGAUUUCAUGGUCCUAGAGAUCAGCUCUCCCACAGCUGCCCUUAAAUCAUAGCUAACACUUCUAUAAAGCUUGCCAUGUGCCAGGCUUCAGGUACUGCUGUUUUGGAGCUGGCGGUGAAGGUGACUGAAGAAGGUGCAAGGUUCCUGUGUGAUGAAGUGAUGAAGCAUUCCUAUGCAUUCCUGUCUGGUCCCUGACAGCUGCUCUCAUUGAGCUUCAAAACAUAUUACGAUUUUUGGAGAACUAGAGAGAUGGCUGCUUGAAGACUCUACCAUUGCUGUCUUUGAAGAUGGUGGAAGGGGCCAUGAGCCAAGGAAUGCAGAUGGUCUCUAGAAGCUAGAAAAUGGAUUCUUUCUUAAAGCUUCCAGAGAGAAACUCAAAACUGCCAACACCUUCAUUUUAGCUCAGUGGGAUCCAUGUCUGGCUUCUGACUUACAGAACUGAAAGAUAAUAAAUUUCUAUUGUUUUAAAUUACAAAAAAAAAAAAGACAU